GUUGAACGCUGGCGGCAGGCCUAACACAUGCAAGUCGAACGGUAACAGGGAUCAGCUUGCUGAUUCGCUGACGAGUGGCGGACGGGUGAGUAAUGUCUGGGAAACUGCCUGAUGGAGGGGGAUAACUACUGGAAACGGUAGCUAAUACCGCAUAACGUCGCAAGACCAAAGAGGGGGACCUUCGGGCCUCUUGCCAUCGGAUGUGCCCAGAUGGGAUUAGCUAGUAGGUGGGGUAACGGCUCACCUAGGCGACGAUCCCUAGCUGGUCUGAGAGGAUGACCAGCCACACUGGAACUGAGACACGGUCCAGACUCCUACGGGAGGCAGCAGUGGGGAAUAUUGCACAAUGGGCGCAAGCCUGAUGCAGCCAUGCCGCGUGUAUGAAGAAGGCCUUCGGGUUGUAAAGUACUUUCAGCGGGGAGGAAGGGAGUAAAGUUAAUACCUUUGCUCAUUGACGUUACCCGCAGAAGAAGCACCGGCUAACUCCGUG
rnacentral:rRNA from 1 species